rnacentral:lncRNA from 1 species
GGAACUUGGCUAUGAGUUUUGAACGCUUUUCCUUGGGCCUUGUCGUCAGAUGGAAGUGCAUAUAGUUUCCCAUGGCCACCUCUUCCAGGAUGUUCAAUGAGAAGUCCCAAAGCCCCUGCAUGAGGAUCAGCCUGAGAGGCCAAGGGAAGCUGACCAAGCUCUCUGAACUUGAAAUGGACUAGACUCAUAAAGGAGGAAGCAGUGCCACUGUUUCCUGGAGACUCAGCCCCCUAUGGGGACACCUUGUACUGACAGGAGGAGGCCCCAACAUACAUUGCUAGCAAAACAAAAGAGGAAAACCCAACAUAUGUCCUGUCAUGAGACAGCAAAGAAGCACG